CCUACGGGUGGCAGCAGUGGGGAAUAUUGGACAAUGGGCGCAAGCCUGACCCAGCGACGCCGCGUGAGGGAAGAAGGCUCUCGGGUUGUAAACUUCUUUUAUCAGGGACGAAGCAAGUGACGGUACCUGAUGAAUAAGCCACGGCUAACUACGUGCCAGCAGCCGCGGUAAUACGUAGGUGACAAGCGUUAUCCGGAUUUACUGGGUGUAAAGGGCGUGUAGGCGGGAGAGCAAGUCAGAUGUGAAAGCCAUGGGCUCAACCUGCGGCCUGCAUUUGAAACUGUUUUUCUGGAGUACUGGAGAGGCAGAUGGAAUUCCUAGUGUAGCGGUGAAAUGCGUAGAUAUUAGGAGGAACACCAGUGGCGAGGGCGGUCUGCUGGACAGUAACUGACGUUGAGGCUCGAAAGCGUGGGGAGCAAACAGGAUUAGAUACCCCAGUAGUC
rnacentral:rRNA from 1 species